GUGAACUGCGAAUGGCUCAUUAAAUCAGUUAUAGUUUAUUUGAUGGUACCUUGCUACAUGGAUAACUGUGGUAAUUCUAGAGCUAAUACAUGCAAUCAAGCCCCGACUUCCGGAAGGGGUGUAUUUAUUAGAUAAAAAACCAACGCGGUUCGCCGCUCCAUUGGUGAUUCAUAAUAACUUCUCGAAUCGCACGGCCUUGUGCUGGCGAUGCUUCAUUCAAAUAUCUGCCCUAUCAACUUUCGAUGGUAGGAUAGUGGCCUACCAUGGUUUCAACGGGUAACGGGGAAUAAGGGUUCGAUUCCGGAGAGGGAGCCUGAGAAACGGCUACCACAUCCAAGGAAGGCAGCAGGCGCGCAAAUUACCCAAUCCCGACACGGGGAGGUAGUGACAAUAAAUAACAAUAUAGGGCUCUUUCGGGUCUUAUAAUUGGAAUGAGUACAAUUUAAAUCCCUUAACGAGGAACAAUUGGAGGGCAAGUCUGGUGCCAGCAGCCGCGGUAAUUCCAGCUCCAAUAGCGUAUAUUAAAGUUGUUGCAGUUAAAAAGCUCGUAGUUGAACUUCAGGCCUGGCUGGGCGGUCUGCCUAACGGUAUGUACUGUCUGGCUGGGCCUUACCUCUUGGUGAGCCGGCAUGCCCUUUACUGGGUGUGUCGGGGAACCAGGACUUUUACCUUGAGAAAAUUAGAGUGUUCAAAGCAGGCCUAUGCCCGAAUACAUUAGCAUGGAAUAAUAAAAUAGGACGUGCGGUUCUAUUUUGUUGGUUUCUAGAGUCGCCGUAAUGAUUAAUAGGGAUAGUUGGGGGCAUUAGUAUUCAGUUGCUAGAGGUGAAAUUCUUGGAUUUACUGAAGACUAACUACUGCGAAAGCAUUUGCCAAGGAUGUUUUCAUUAAUCAAGAACGAAGGUUAGGGGAUCGAAAACGAUCAGAUACCGUUGUAGUCUUAACAGUAAACUAUGCCGACUAGGGAUCGGGCGAACUCAAUUUUAUGUGUCGCUCGGCACCUUACGAGAAAUCAAAGUCUUUGGGUUCUGGGGGGGAGUAUGGUCGCAAGGCUGAAACUUAAAGGAAUUGACGGAAGGGCACCACCAGGAGUGGAGCCUGCGGCUUAAUUUGACUCAACACGGGGAAACUCACCAGGUCCAGACAUGACUAGAAUUGACAGAUUGAUAGCUCUUUCAUGA
rnacentral:rRNA from 1 species